GACGAACGCUGGCGGCGUGCUUAACACAUGCAAGUCGAACGCUGAAGCUCAGCUUUUGUUGGGUGGAUGAGUGGCGAACGGGUGAGUAACACGUGAGUAACCUGCCCCCUUCUUUGGGAUAACGCCCGGAAACGGGUGCUAAUACUGGAUAUUCACUGGUCUUCGCAUGGGGGUUGGUGGAAAGGGUUUUUCUGGUGGGGGAUGGGCUCGCGGCCUAUCAGCUUGUUGGUGGGGUGAUGGCCUACCAAGGCUUUGACGGGUAGCCGGCCUGAGAGGGUGACCGGUCACAUUGGGACUGAGAUACGGCCCAGACUCCUACGGGAGGCAGCAGUGGGGAAUAUUGCACAAUGGGCGCAAGCCUGAUGCAGUGACGCCGCGUGAGGGAUGGAGGCCUUCGGGUUGUGAACCUCUUUCGCUCAUGGUCAAGCCGCAACAAUGGUUGUGGUGAGGGUAGUGGGUAAAGAAGCGCCGGCUAACUACGUG
rnacentral:rRNA from 1 species